AAAAAGAACUUGUUUUACUUUGUGUUUUAAGAUGUAAUUAUUUUAUCCGAAAUGAGAUAUGACACAAUGAAUGCAAUAAAAAACCGCUAGUGUGCUGAACCAUUUAUCUACAUAUAUUGGAUAAGCGGAACAUUGACAAUAAUAUAUUAUUUCACUUUUUAUGCAGUUCUCUAAUUUGUUGAAAAGAAAUACACUUAAGCUGAGCGCUGUGUGACAAAGAAAAACAUCUUCAGUACCUCCCAUAUUCCAUACGACUGCAGAUGUUCUGUGACGAAUGAUAGAAGUACAGCAUAAGAGGCGCAUUCAAAAAUGAUAUGUUAUACAUCUUGGAUAUCAAAAUCGGCAAUUGUUAAACACUGAAUUGUCAAGCUGGAACCUACAGCGAUCAGGUCAUCAUAUAAUAUCCUAUCGAGAUACUCUCCAUACACCAUACCAGAAUCUACAGAUUUACUUUCCAGGAUAUCAUACCAGAACAUACACUGGUACCAUUAGGACACCAUACCAGAACCUACAGAGUUACUCACCAGGACAUCAUACCAAAAACCUACAGAGUUACUCUCCAGGAUAUCUUACCAGAACCUACAGAGUUACUCUCCAUGACAUCAUACCAGAACCUACACUGGUACCAUUAGGACAACUUACCAGAACCUACAGAGUUACUCUCCAGGACAUCUUACAAAAACCUACAGAGUUAAUCUCCAGGACAUCAUACCAGAACAUUCAGAGUUUCUCUCCAGGAUAUCAUACCAGAACCUACAGAGUUACUCACCAGGACAUCUUACAAAAACCUACAGAGUUGCUCUCCAGGACAUCUUACAAAAACCUACAGAGUUACUCUCCAGGACAUCAUACAAGAACCUACAGAGUUACUCACUAGGACAUCAUACCUGAUUAUAUAUCAAACAAAUACGACAGUAAACAAAUGUAAUGUUGAAUAAUGAAAGUGUUUCUCCUUGUACGCUAUUUGUCUUACUCUUAAACGAUAUAUAAGUCCGCUAAAAUUGACAUAAAAUAUCAAAAUAUUCGUAAUAAUAAUUCUUAAAACGUACGUUGAAGCGAGUUCCAUUGUCUUGAUAUCAUCUGUAGACUCGCUCUAGCAACGGUGUAAUUAUGAGGCAACGCAAAGGGUACAAAUCCAUGGCGGUUCAACCCUCCUUAACCGAGUACGUAAAGUUUUAUUGAAAUACCCCUAGAAAUUAUUUCAGCACUGAAAAAGAUUUUUUAGAAGAAAAAUAGUCACUGUAACAUUUGUUCUUUCAAUCAUGAAUUUCGCAUUUAUGGUCGUUUAUAAAUAUGUGAAGUGUAGCCAAAAUCCCUUAGGAAACAAUAUCAUUGGAGCGCUGAAAAUGCUUGUCAGAAAAUUUACAGUGGAUUAAUAAGCAGAGAAAAAAAGCGGACAGAUCAAGAUCCUCAAUAAACGACAGAGCUAACAAAUGCAUGUGAUACCCAUAUUCGACCUUCGGCAACAAAACUGUAUCUCCAAUUAGUUUCAUUCGCGAGGGAAUAAAGACAGAAAUACUCAGAAGCACAUGUUGAGCGGGUAACCUAAGGCUGCUGUAGUAAUUAGUCGCCAAUGGAAACAAAAACUUAAUUGGAAACAUUUUUUUCUGUAACCCAUCACAUAAAUCCACGUUAACACCGUUCAUUGUUUAGUCCUUUCAAGCGUUAAAUCCCAACUUUUAGCUACAAUUUUAAUUACAUUAUAAGCAAGGUUAGUCUCAUUUUUAUAUUGUUUACUCGAGAAAUGGAAUUUGAAGUAAAUUGA